GAGAGAGGUUUGCUAACACCGAAAACUGCUAAUUUCCGCUAUCUUCAGUUGAACUCUGAAGCUCCCUCG
rnacentral:tRNA from 1 species